rnacentral:rRNA from 1 species
UACUGAGGGUGCAAGCGUUAAUCGGAAUUACUGGGCGUAAAGGGUGCGUAGGUGGUUGAAUAAGUUAGGUGUGAAAGUCCUGGGCUUAACCUGGGGAUUGCGCCUAAUACUGUUUAGCUAGAGUACUGUAGAGGAAGGUGGAAUUUCCAGUGUAGCGGUGAAAUGCGUAGAUAUUGGAAGGAACAUCAGUGGCGAAGGCGACUUUCUGGACAGAUACUGACACUGAGGCACGAAAGCGUGGGGAGCAAACAGG